rnacentral:misc_RNA from 1 species
GUGUCCAGAUGAUUCUCCCCCCCUGCUGACCAUUGAAAAAAUGCUACCCAUACUUUGUGCCCAAAAGUCCAUUAUCAUCUCAUAACCUUUUUUUCUUUCAUUCACUGCCUCACAUUCAGACUUCCUUUUUUAAAUUCUUAAGCAUACCAUCAAGAAGCUGCUUGUAAACAAAAGUGCCAUGGUGAUAAAAACUCUGUUUUGAUGAAGAGCCUCUGUGCCACUGCCAUCUGGGUUGAAGCCACCACUUCCUGUUGGUCCCAUCCCAAAAGUUGGGUUGUUAAUACCUGUAUUAGUUCCUGUGCCUGUGCCUGUGCCUAUGCCCGUGCCAGUGCUAGUGCCGGUGCCAAUCCCUGGAUUUGUUGUGGUUCCUGGUGCAUUUGGGGUUGUGGUACCUCCAGUGCUGCCUCCUGUGGUCUGAUAACAUGCAGAGCUAGAGGAGGCUGGUGGAGUUGAAGUCAAAGAAGCAGUUCCACUGAAGUCACAAGUAGCACCAGUUGAAGCCUUCCUCUGGUAAUAGCUAUUUACAGCAUAGGAGCAGUGAUCUUUAAUAGUGUUAGGGUUGUAGCAAGGACCAUUUUGAAGGAUACCAGUACAAUCAGCUCCAUUUCCACAGGCAUAAUCUAUAUUGUGCUGCAGAAGUGUGUCCGCAAAACCAUCUUUACACACACAGUAAUUAGCACCACUUAAGUAACCAGUUA